GCGGCUGCUGGGAGGACCCAGUGGGUGGGCGGGGGCGGCCGCGGCUGCCUUGGGAACCGUGCUGCCUAGGCUUAGGUACCACUUACUGGUCUGCCCUGUGGACCAGCUCCGUUGGGCAGCACCCGUUCGCUCUGAGGUCGAAGAAGCAUCCCCAUGCAAGGCCGCGGAGACUGGGAGGAGACAUCCACAGCUGUCCAAGACGAAGCAUCCGCUGCCCACCAGCAGAGCACAGGCCAUCAAAGCCAAAUCAGAACUUGAAUUCUUUGCGGCUGAUUGCAGAGCUGGCAGGCCAACGAUUUCCCAGGGAAAAGUAAUGGAAAGCAAUUGUUGGAGAAAUGAAAAAAGUACUGCGCCAAAGAUGGCCGAUGGGACUAAAACAAGCUCUGGUCUCUAGCUUAGAGACCCUUCUUCUGGGUUCUUCUUGCCCUGUUUGCCGCGCGCACGAAAACCCACUACAGAUAUGGAAGCUGACAACUAUAAAUUACCCUUCCCACUUUCAUUUGGCGCUCAGAUCUUUGGAGAAACAGUCUCCUCUGAGCCCUCCGGUGUUAACUAAAUCUCCGAUCCACCAAGAUCUCUGAGUGCCGCUUGGUUUUUCUGCCACCGUUCCAGCCUGGUUCCAUAACAUAUUUGAUUCCCUGACUGAGAAACCUAACCGCGCUGGCCCAUUGUUGCCACUGGUUUGGAAGAAUGGCUAGGCUGUGACGGAGCAAGGAGCAAGGAAUCAUAAAGGAGAAGGCGUGUCCUGACUGAAUUCUGGCAGUCCCCUGUUCAGUCACCUGGGGCUGGCCGUGUUCUGUCGUUCCUGCUGGACUCAAAGAGACCUGGUGCGACUCAUCCAUAGCAAGCAGAGUCAGGCAAAGGUUUUAGCAGCUUUAUCUGGAGAUUCACCCAGGGAGCCAAAGAAGAAACUCACCACUCCCCUAGUGUUUGCAUGACACCUGGAGGAAGAUCCUGUCUUUCUGCCACCUUAUGACUCACCAGGCUCCCUCCCCCAUGCCCCUGAGCUUGAAACUCCUCCCCCAUCUGUCUCUCCUCUGCUGCCACUGCUGCCCAUGUCUCCUCACCUCCUGCACCCAGAGAACCCUCCCCGGGAGACAAGGGCCAGCAGCCAGACCGCACUCCAGACCCAGACCUAAUGCUCUCCAAAUGCCUGUAAGGGAGACGAGAGCCUGAAAGACAGAAUGAGGAUGGAACAGUCCAGCCAGCCAUUCCAUGAUGUAUUAUCAACCUUUCUCUACAACCAACCUCCUCAACUGGAAACACAAUACUCCAUCAUACUCUGAAAAGCCACAAGCAAUGGUCAACUUGAUGGAGUCCCUCUUCCAGACCCACCGACUGACUUGGGAAGAUAGUCAACAGUUAUUCCGUACUCUGUUUAAUACAGAAGAAAGAAGAAGAAUGAGAGAAACAUGACAGUAUCUAGAAGAUCACACACCUCUGGGGAUCAAUGAUCCUGCUGUCUGGGCUCAAGCUGCUGUGCCUGAAGAACGCCCAACAUGGGAUUUCACCACAGAAGGACAAGCCCACAUCCAAUGAUACCAGGAAGCCCUCCUUGGGGGAAUCCAAGCUGGAGCCAAAAAGCCCAUGAACAUGACUAAAAUAUCAUCAGAAGAAAAUUCCAGAAGUUGGAGGGCUUUGCCGGGAUGAAUAUCAAUCAGCUGAUAGAGGUUGCCAGUAAAGUUUCAUGAACAGAGAAGUCACAGCCAAAAGAGAAGCAGAGAGAAGACUAAAAAAGAAGGUCACCUUUCUCGCAGCAGCACUAAAAGAAACAGACGCUGUGAAGAUGGGAAGACCCCAACCACCAAAAGGGGGGAAGACCAGAGCCCCCUUAGCAAGGGACCAAUGUGCAUACUGCAAAUAGAAGGGACCCUGGAAAAAUGAAUGUCCAAAUUGGAAGGGCCCCUCAAAGCCCUGCUGAUAUCGGGAAGAACCUCAAGGCGAGAACCUCAUCGGUCUGGCCGGGAUAGAAUCAGACUGAAGGGACAGGGCUCUUUCUCUCUUGGCCCCCAUGAAAUGAAAGUAGGGGGCCAAACAAUAAAUUUCAUUGUUGACACUGGAGCUGAACACUCGGUUGUUACUUCCCUGGUGGCGCCCUUCAGCCAAAAGAUGGAAACCAUACUUGGGGCUACUGGGACACAGUGAUGCAGCCCUUCCGUCAAGCUCGACAAUGUGAACCUGGGGGUCACAAGGUCCGGCAUGAGUUCCUCUACUUACCUGACUGCUCAAUUCCUCUCCUGGGCCAAGGAUCUGCUCUCCAAACUUGGGGACCAGAUAACUUUUGAACCCACUGGACACAUUAGCCUCCAGUUAAACUCAAGGCAGAAGGAUACCCUGGUCGUGGCGAUUACCCUGCCAAGGGAAGAAGAAUGAAGACUAUUCUGCGCCCAGGCCCUACCCUGUAGCCCUUCAGAGUUCAGGCUUACAUUCCCUUCUGUAUGGGCUGAAGAUAACCCACCUGGACUAGCUUGGAACUGGACCCCAUCAUUGUUGACCUGAUCCCUGGAGCCCAACCUUGGAGACAAAGGCAGUACUCCCUUCCACUCGAGGCUAGAAUGGGUAUACAAGAGCACCUGACCAAGCUCAGAGAAGCAGGUAUUCUAACUGUGUGCCAAUCGGCUUGGAAUACCCCACUCAUGCCAGUCAAGAAGCCAGGAGGAGGAUACCAACCAGUAUAGGAUUUGAGGGCCAUUAACAAAGUGUUUCCUUACACCCAGUGGUUCUGAACCCGUAUACACUCCUCAGCCAAAUUCCGGGGUCAGCCAGAUGGUUUACAUGCCUCGACUUAAAGGAUGCUUUCUUCUGCCUCCGCCUGGCUCCUCAAAGUCAACAGCCAUUGUUUGCCUUUGAGUGGACUGAGUCCAUUACAGGGCGCCAGCUGCAGCUGACCUGGACACAACUUCCCCAAGGCUUCAAGAACUUGCCCACUCUUUUUGGGGAAGUACUAGCUGCCGACCUUAUUGACUUUCUGAGGGAAAUCACAGGGUGUGUCCUCCUCCAAUAUGUAGACGACCUCCUCCUUGCCAGCGACACCCAAGAAAACUGUAUGAAAGGUACCAAGGCCCUCCUGCAGCUCCUAUCUUACUUGGGGUACCAGGCCUCUUGGAAAAAGGCACAGAUUUGUCAGCAGCAGGUCCGAUAUUUAGGCUUCCUCCUCACAAAAGGAAAAAGAGAACUAGGACCAGAAAGGAAAAAUGUUAUCACCACACUGCCACAGCUCCCCCCCAAAAAUGAGGCUUGCAUGAAUUUUUAGGGAUCGCAGAGUUCUGUCGCAUUUGGAUUCCCGGAUUCUCAGCCAUAGUGAGGCCCUUCUAUGACCUCUUGGGAGGGCCAGACUGGGAGCCCCUCGCAUGAACUGAGGACGCAAGGGCUGCUUUCACAGAAAUAAAGCUGGCUCUGGGACGAGCCCCAGCCCUGGGUUUGCCUGACAUAGAAAGGCCCUUUAACCUCUUCGUACAUUAAAGGACAAAAUAGCCCUUGGAGUGCUCAUUCAGAGCAUGGGGCCUUGACAACGGCCAGUAGCCUACCUGUCAAAAAAAAACUUGAUCCUGUGGUUGCAGGAUGGCCACCCGUGCCUCAGAGCACUAGCAGCCACAGUCCUGCUCUUCAAGGAGGCAGACAAACUCACACUGGGACAAACACUUAAUGUUAAGGUCCCACACGCAGUCAUGUCCCUCAUGAGCACCCAAGGAUAUCAUUUCCUCUCCAAUUCUUGGCUGACACAAUACCAAGGCCUUCUCCAUGAAAACCCAAGGGUCACUCUCGAAACAGUAAGAACACUAAACCCGGCCACCUUCCUUCCCACAGAAGAGGGAGAACCUGACCAUGACUGUUCCAAAGUAGUGGAUGAAGUCCAUGCUAGCUGCCUGGACCUCCAAGACCAGGCUAUAACAAGUCCAGAGACCAUCCUGUUCAGCGAUGGGAGCAUCUAUUUAUAAGAGGGCAGCCAAAGAGCAGGAUAUGCGGUAACCACAAACACCGAAGUUCUGUAAGCCAAGGCAUUGCCAGAAGGAUGGUUGGCAGAACGAGCUGAACUGUAUGCCUUAACCUGAGCUUUAAUCCUUAGCAAAGGUAAACAAGUUAACAUCUAUACUGAUUCUCGGUAUGCCUUCACUACUGUGCAUGUACACAGGGCCAUCUAUAAAGAAAGAGGCCUCCUUACUGCUGCAGGGAAAACUAUCAAAAAACAAGGAAGAAAUGCUAAAGCUUCUUGAGGCCGUAUGGCUGCCAGACAAGGUAGCUAUCCUACACUGUAAGGCACAUCAGAAAGGAGACAACCCCAUAACUCAAAAAACUCACCUGCGAAAGGGCAUAUUUCAUUCUUUCUCAUUGCCAUGUAGUGUUCCAUUGUGUAUAUAAACCACAAUUUCUUUCUCCAUUCAUCAGUUGAUGGACAUUUAGGCUCUUCCCAUAAUUUGGCUAUUGUUGAAAAUGCUGCUAUAAACAUUGGGGUACAGGUGCCCCUAUGCAUCAGCACUCCUGUAUCCUUUGGGUAAAUUCCUAGCAGUGCUAUUGCUGGGCCAUAGGGUAGAUCUAUUUUUAGUUUUUUGAGGAACCUCCACACUGUUUUCCAGAGCAGCUGCACCAGUUUGCAUUCUAUGCUAAGUGAAAUAAGUCAUACAGAGAAAGACAGAUACCAUAUGUCUUCACUCUUAUGUGGAUCCUGAGUAACUUAUCAGAAGACCAUGGGGGAAGGGAAGGAAAAAAAAAAGAGGUUAGAGAGGGAGGAAGCAAAAACAUAAGAGAGUCUUAAAAACUGAGAACAAACUGAGGGUUGAUGGGGGGUGGGAGGGAUGGGAGGGUGGGUGAUGGGUAUUGAGGAGGGCACCUGUUGGGAUGAACACUGGGUGUUGUAUGGAAACCAAUUUGACAAUAAAUUUCAUAUUUAAAAAAAAAAUUGACUGGACGACAAAAGAGCCAGAGCGGCCUGACCUAGGCAAAGCUCCUACCUAAACUAUGACUCUUGCACCCCAGAGAGAUGCCUCCCCACCCCUGUACACAAAUGAGGAAAGAAGUUGGGCCUCGACAGAAGGGGGCACAGUAAGCAAAGAAGGGUGGUGGGUCAUGCCAAAUGGGCACAUCUUUGUCCUGUCGUCUAUGGGAAAACACCUAGUGAAGGAAUAUCACCAACUCACACACCUAGGGAAAACUGCACUGGAGGCCCUUCUCAAAAAGAACUACUAUAUCAGCCAGCUACUGGAAUUAUGCCGAGCUCUCAGUGAACAAUGUGUAACGUGUGCCAAAAACAAUUCUCCCUCUGCCCCACGCUCCACCCCCAGCACACAAAGGAUGGGGGCCGCCCAUUUUGAAGACAUAGAGGUGGACUUUACUGACAUACAGCCAAAUAAAGGAUUCAGCCCUUAAAGUUUCAGGUAUCAACCCAUGGGUCCAUCACUCCAGAGUUAAGAAGGCCAACUCAGAAGAACCCACAACCUGGCAAAGUGAUCCAGAUCCAGUCAACCUGCUUAAACUGACCCUCAAAAAGACACUGGCCCCUGAGACCUUCAGUCCUACUCCUGCCACACCCCAGAAGCUGGCUGGCCUGUGCGGCAGAAGCUUGAAGAAUCAAUGUGUGAACCUAGCCCAGGGGUUUGGAUGCAACUCUGCCAGCCCUUGCCCCUUACUGGUGUCAUAGCCCUGAUUUUACUUCUUACUGUUGGCCUGAUAGAGACUGCACCAACAAGCUGGACAUGGGACAAAAGAUACUUGCCGGGUCUCACAUACCUCCUCUGGAUGGGAGGAUUAUUAAGUAUUGCCUGUAUACUAUGAUAACCUCUCUCACCCUCACAACUGCUGCUUACCCACUUUGCCCCCAGGAUUGUUAUAUGCCAAUAAGGGGGUCAAGGGCAUUCAACACCUUCACCUCCCUCCACAAAGAUUGCUACAAGGGAAAAACACCCACUCUCUGUCGGUCACCCGGUGCCCCAAGGGCUAAGUAUUGGACCAUAGAGAUAAUCCAAAAUGUCAGGAACCCAUGUCACAACAAGGGCCUGAGAGGGAAGCGAGUUUGCUACAGUUACCUUCCUCAAUGGGGGAUCUCAGACGGAGGAGGGGUGCAAGACAGGGCCCUUCAAAAAGUUAUAAAGGAUACCCAGGAUAGGUAUACGAGCCAUAAAUGUGACCACUCCCCUGGCAGCCUACCAGGGUUUGAACCUUUCAGCCUUAAAUCAGAUGCUUACCAAUUCCCCACUCCAGUGUUGGGCCAACACUACUCUACAAGUCUUCCAUAAAACAUAUAAUCACACCCAAACCUGCUGGAUGUGUUUGCCCCUCAGCCUGAGGGCUUACUUAGCCACUCCCAUCCCUUUGAUCUGGGAAGCUCCUGAAAAUCUCAAAACCAAAAUUUCUGUCUUAAUUGGACCCCUGGCCACUGGGGUCCGUCUGAUAAAUGCCAACAAUCUAAUCUGUACAGUCCCUGAGGGUAUGAAUGGUACCUCUCUAUAACGAAGAAAUAUAACCUUAAAGAGGAAUACAACCCUAUGUUCAACCCUUAGGGUGUUCUAUCUAUGUUCUAAUUCAGCCUACUGAUACUUAGAAGCCAACUGGACUCAGAUAUGUUAUUCCGUCUUCCUAACCCCAGUGAUAUCUGUAUACACUGAAGAUCAGCUCCUAACAGCCUUUAGCCCCAAGUCCCAGAAUAAACAGGCAGUCCUGCUACCCGUUCUGAUAGGAGCAGGAAUUGAGACAGGAAUAGGAACUGGAAUGGGGGCAUAGGUUCAUCCAUAGGACUAUACCAUAGACUAUCUCAAGAGCUAAAUGAAGACAUGAAAUGGGUGGCAGAUUCUCUGGUAAACUUACAAAGCCAAAUAAACUCUCUGGCCGCAGUGACCUCCAAAAUAGGUGAGCCCUAGACCUCCUCACUUCAGAAAAAGGAGGUACUUACAUCUUUCUGUGGGAGGAAUGUUGUUAUUUCGUAAACCAGUCAGGAAUAGUUACAACUAAGGUUAAGGAACUCAAGGAAAGAAUUCAAGGUAGACAACAGGAAAGUAUCAAUCAAUGGAAAGGAUGGGAUCUCAUAGAUUGGGUAUUCUGGCUUUCUGCUCUGGCGGGGCCCCUCCUCUCCAUAAUUUUACUUGUAUCCAUCGGCCCUUGUAUACUGAAUGCUGUGGUACGUUUUGUUGAAAACACUGUUGCUCGCCAAACUAGAGCAUGUAUCUUAGCCUUCCGAAAGCACCAACCUGUAAAACUAAAAGGUGAUGCUUACCAAAAGUUUUUUUUAAGAGGCAUCAAAGCGGGGUAAUGUUGGAGAAAUGAAUAAAGUACUGUGCCAAAGAUGGCCGACGGGACUAAAACAAGCUCUGGUCUCCAGCAUAGAGACCCCUCUUCUGGGUUCUUCUUGCCUUGUUUGCUGCGCGCACGAAAACCCACCACAGAUAUGGAAGCUGACAAGUAUAAAUUACCCUUCCCACUUUCAUUUGGCGCUCAGAUCUUUGGAGAAACAGUCUCCUCUGAGCCCGCCAGUGUUAAAUAAAUCUCCGAUCCACCAAGAUCUCUGAGUGCCGCUUGCUUUUUCCACCAGCGUUCCAGCCUGGUUCUGUAACACAAUAAAAAUUAAAACUACCACAACCGUGAUUUAUUGACAGAUUAUUAGGUGCCAGGCACCCUAAUGCCAAGCCCUUUAUAUGUACUAGCUCUUUAAUCUUACAGUAAUCCCAUUAGAUAGCUAUUGCUAUUCCAUUUCUAAUUUGCUAUUGACAUUAAUUCAAUUACUAUUAAUUGCCAUCUAUUUCAGAUGAGGAAAGAGGCUGGAAAAUUAGGAAACUACUGAGGGCCAUGCAGCUAAUUAGUGGUGGAGUCAGAGAUGAGAUGCCUGGCUGACUGACUCCAAAGUCAGUGCUCCUUACUCCUUAGUUCCCAUACACAGCACUUUAUGAUGUAGGUGCUAUGACUAUCUGCACAUGAUGCAUGAGAAGACCGAGGUCUACACAUAUGAAGUGGUUGGCCAAAAGUCAUAAGAGCAGUGGUGUGUGUCACACACAAGGAUGGAAUCUUCUAAGGAACAUUUGGAGGCUUUUCUACCUUUCUUUUUCUGUCCCCCUGUAUUGCAGCUAGAACUCCAGCUGCCUGGCAACCACCCCUUCCCCUGUCUUCAGUUGCAUUAUCAUACUCCAUUCAAGCAUGUUGGUGGUCUUUCCCUCUAGGCCUUAGGUGAAAACAGUUGUGAAUUUAACAUAUGUAAGAGGAGAUAGCAGCAGAAAUCAGUGGGGGAGGGAUUAAUUGUACAAUUAAUGGUGCUAGGGGAACUUCAUUAGUCAAUUGGAAAAAAAAGAUCAGUUUGCUUUCUCCCAUGACACUGAAUAUGAAUCCAGAUUAAUUUGAUAAAUAAAUGUAGAUUUUAUACAAAUGUGUACUAAUUAUGAAAUAAUAUAUUUUGUUGUUAUGAAAGGAAUAAAAAGAAUAAAAAGGUCAAAAGCAACCCCUCUUUCGGAGAUAGAGAGAGAAAGAGGAGAGAGAGAGAGGGAGGGGCAGAGGGAGAAAGAGACAAUCUUAGGCAGGCUUCACCCCUAGUACAGAGCCCGAAGGGGGCUCAAUUUCAUGACCCUGAGAUCAUGAGCUGAGCCAAAAUCAAGAGUCAGAGGCUUAACCGACUGAGCAACCCAGGUGUCCCAAAAAGCAACUCUUCUUAAAACUGCAAGAAAAUACAUAUUAAAUCUCUGGAUUGGAGAGAGGUUUUAAUCCAUGUUUAAGAGUGAUGAAAGAAAUGAUAAAGGAAAGAACAAUAACUCAGAAGACAGCAUUAACAGAAAUAAAAUAGAAAUACCAAACUGUAAGUACUGACAACAAAUAAGAAAAAUCAUAAUAACAGCAAUGUUCUAUUGUGUUUUGAUAGCUAACAUUUGUUAAAGUCUUACAAAGUGCCAGGCAUAUUCUAAGAGCUCCACAUGGCUUCAUUUCAUUCUCACAAUAAAACCUGAGAUAGAUCCUAAUAUUAUCCCCAGGUUCAAGAGCAUUCUUAUGUAAAGGGGAAAAAAUGAGACUAUGCAUAAAAUGUAAAUAUGCACCUUAACAAAUUAUUAUAAAGCAAACCACCAUAGAGAUCAAGAAAUAGAAUAUUGCCAGAUUUCCUGAAGUCCCUGAGUCCCUGCCCAUCAAACCACACUCAUGACAGUUAUAUCUAAUAUUUUCUUUCUUUUCUUUAGAGCUUUACCACUCAAAUAGGAAUCCCCAAACACCAUUGUUUUGUUCUAGAACUUUAUAUAAAUAGAACUAUAAUGCAUGUAUCCUAUAUCUGGCUCAUUUCCUUUAUGAUUAGGUUUUUGAGAUUCACCUUCUUUGCAUGUAGCAUUAGCUCAUUUUCAGCCUUGCAUUACAGCAUUCCAUUCUAUGAGUUUACAAGACAUUAUCUAUCCAUUCCACUGUUGAUGGACAUUUGGGUUGUUUCUGGUUUGGGGCAAUUAUGAAAAAUGUUUCUAUGAACAUCUUGUUUCUGCCUCCUGGUGCACAUGUGCAAACAUAGGGCAUCUACCUAGUGUAGAGGCUACUUUAGGCAACGGGCUUGAACAAUGGAAACUUGAGCAAGGCAAAAGGGCCCACAGCAACCACUAGAGCUGAGUGCAAACAGACUUAUUAAGUUACCCACCUUGACAUAGCCAUAGGCCUCAACUGACCAAUUACAAUCAGGCACAGUUCUUAAGAUUACCAAAAAAGGGAAAAU